rnacentral:rRNA from 1 species
UACGUAGGGUGCAAGCGUUAAUCGGAAUUACUGGCGUAAAGCGUGCGCAGGCGGUUUUGUAAGACAGUCGUGAAAUCCCCGGGCUCAACCUGGGAAUGGCGAUUGUGACUGCAAAGCUGAGUGCGGCAGAGGGGGAUGGAAUUCCGCGUGUAGCAGUGAAAUGCGUAGAUAUGCGGAGGAACACCGAUGGCGAAGGCAAUCCCCUGGGCCUACACUGACGCUCAUGCACGAAAGCGUGGGGAGCAAACAGG